UGCAAUCAAAUUUUCACAGGCAGCCAACAAGCAGUGAAAAGUAAUUAUUACUCUAGAGGAAGCUGUGGGACCCAUUUUGGACCAUGAGUUUGUGAAAUCUGGAAGAUCGGAUGAG